rnacentral:rRNA from 1 species
UACGAGGGGGGCAAGCGUUGUUCGGAAUUAUUGGGCGUAAAGGGCGCGUAGGCGGUGCGGUAAGUCUGAUGUGAAAUCUCCGGGCUCAACUCGGAGUCUGCAUCAGAAACUGCCGUGCUCGAGUGUGGGAGAGGUGAGUGGAAUUCCCGGUGUAGCGGUGAAAUGCGCAGAUAUCGGGAGGAACACCGGUGGCGAAGGCGGUUCUCUGGGCCUUACCUGACGCUGAGGAGCGAAAGCGUGGGGAGCGAACAGG